CAAUSGGCGCAAGCMUGAUGCAGSGACGCCGCGUGCGGGAUGRCGGCCUUCGGGUUGUAAACCGCUUUUGACUGGGAGCAAGCCMUUCGGGGUGAGUGUACCUUUCGAAUAAGCACCGGCUAACUACGUGCCAGCAGCCGCGGUAAUACGUAGGGUGCAAGCGUUAUCCGGAAUUAUUGGGCGUAAAGGGCUCGUAGGCGGUUCGUCGCGUCCGGUGUGAAAGUCCAUCGCUUAACGGUGGAUCCGCGCCGGGUACGG
rnacentral:rRNA from 1 species